rnacentral:rRNA from 1 species
GAUUUCUGGUUAAGUAACGCUAGCCCGCCCUUGCCAGGGGUGUGCGCUGGUUAGUUGCUUGCCAUCUUUCUAGAAAGCCAGCGUUUGUCAUUCACUUGGCGGACGUGACGCGAUCUAGAUCUUUUACUUUGAAAAAAUUAGAGUGUUUAAAGCAGGUGUUGCGCCUUGAAUACAUUAGCAUGGAAUAAUAAUUUAGGACUUCUGCCUAUUUUAUUGGUUUCUAGGUUUGGAGUAAUGAUUGAUAGGGAUAGUUGGGGGUGCUAGUAUUCAUCGGCCAGAGGUGAAAUUCUUGGAUUCGAUGAAGACUAACUAAUGCGAAAGCAUU